CAGUCGAACGCACAGCGAAAGGUGCUUGCACCUUUCAAGUGAGUGGCGAACGGGUGAGUAACACGUGGACAACCUGCCUCAAGGCUGGGGAUAACAUUUGGAAACAGAUGCUAAUACCGAAUGAAACUUAGUGUCGCAUGACACGAAGUUAAAAGGCGCUUUGGCGUCACCUAGAGAUGGAUCCGCGGUGCAUUAGUUAGUUGGUGGGGUAAAGGCCUACCAAGACAAUGAUGCAUAGCCGAGUUGAGAGACUGAUCGGCCACAUUGGGACUGAGACACGGCCCAAACUCCUACGGGAGGCUGCAGUAGGGAAUCUUCCACAAUGGGCGAAAGCCUGAUGGAGCAACGCCGCGUGUGUGAUGAAGGCUUUCGGGUCGUAAAGCACUGUUGUAUGGGAAGAACAGCUAGAAUAGGGAAUGAUUUUAGUUUGACGGUACCAUACCAGAAAGGGACGGCUAAAUACGUGCCAGCAGCCGCGGUAAUACGUAUGUCCCGAGCGUUAUCCGGAUUUAUUGGGCGUAAAGCGAGCGCAGACGGUUGAUUAAGUCUGAUGUGAAAGCCCGGAGCUCAACUCCGGAAUGGCAUUGGAAACUGGUUAACUUGAGUGCAGUAGAGGUAAGUGGAACUCCAUGUGUAGCGGUGGAAUGCGUAGAUAUAUGGAAGAACACCAGUGGCGAAGGCGGCUUACUGGACUGUAACUGACGUUGAGGCUCGAAAGUGUGGGUAGCAAACAGGAUUAGAUACCCUGGUAGUCCACACCGUAAACGAUGAACACUAGGUGUUAGGAGGUUUCCGCCUCUUAGUGCCGAAGCUAACGCAUUAAGUGUUCCGCCUGGGGAGUACGAC
rnacentral:rRNA from 1 species